AUAUAUGUAUAUAUAUACCGGAUAUAUUUUGGGAACAUAUCCGAACCAAAUACGUCUCUCGUUGGAACGCAGUGCGCAGUGGUUUGUUUUUGUCGUAUGAAAAUUCAACUCGGGCAAUUUUAAUCCCGGACACGGGCUAAAAUAAUUACUCCCAGUAACUUUUUUUGCCCUUGCUAUCAAAAGUUUUCAUACAACUCAUUCGAGGACGCGAUAUUACGCAAUAAAAUUAAAUUUGCAUCGUGAUAUUACUGCAUGCUAGAUUUAGCAGUGUCGGCAUGAAUUAUUGCUCCAGAACCCUGUCGUAAUUAUAUUAUUGAUUUAGAACCACUGUCGUAAAUUUUUUAACGAAACCUGUAAGCUGUCAAUCAAUGUUGGUUGCCCUUAAUAUUUAUGUGAGCAAACUAUACGUGAAAUAUUGUUAAAAAAUGCGAUCCAUAUUACCAGGGGUUAAUAAUGAUUUGUCCAUAUUAACCCCUGAUACUACUAGAUACUGCGCACGUCUUGCAAAACCGCGGCACUAUAGCAUAGUCCGCGAGACCGCCAGUUUGUCACUGAAUACGUUUAGCUGAAUAAGUGGAUCGUUUAUGGCUAUUAGCCUAUUAGUAUAGCAAACAAUAUAACAUGUUCAAAACUAUUUUAACUAUGUCGCGAAGAAGUUAUGUAUGUAUAGACGCCUCUAAACAUCUCAUCGAGAUGUGGUAUAAGGUCUUUAGAACUAUUUAUACGCAAUCGCAAUCUUUUCGAAAAACGCGGCAUUUUGUACUGUUUCGAAAAACGCGGCGUUUUGCACUGUUUCGAAAAACGCGGCGUUUUGCACUGUUUCGAAAAACGCGGCGUUUUCACUGUUUCGAAAAACGCGGCGUUUACGCGAUGUUUCGAAAAAUGUGGCGUUUUGCUCUGUGUAGACGCAUAACCCGGCAAUAUUGUGUAAUGCCUAGAGCUACAGAUUUGUAUCCGUAUAAGCUUAUAUGAAAACGAUUGUAGUUGUACGUUAGUAGUUAGUAGUUGUACGUUAUUUGAGAUUUUUAUGAUUCGUUUUAUCGAUUUGUUCCGAACUCGAUUUUGCUCAAACUAUAUGUUAGCGCUAAAGCGAACUGCAUCCGUAGAAUCUGCCGAAACAUUCUGCAUCGGUUACUGGUAACCGUGACUACAAACUAUUCCAAACGUAGCAUUUUCGUUCUGAAAAUUAUCACGCUAUUGUUGACAUGCUGCUGGUUAAACGCUACCUGACAGUUUUUUAAAGUACGAUAUAAUAUAUUAUAUUGACUGAAAAAUGUAGUAAAUAAAAUAAGCAAGAAACGUUGUUCCUUUUGCAAGUUCGACCAACAA